CGCUGAGUUUGAUCCUGGCUCAGAAUUAACGCUGGCGGCAGGCUUAACACAUGCAAGUCGAGGGGUAUAGUUCUUCGGAGCUAGAGACCGGCGCACGGGUGCGUAACGCGUAUGCAAUCUACCUUUUACAGAGGGAUAGCCCAGAGAAAUUUGGAUUAAUACCUCAUAGUAUGUGAGAAUCGCAUGGUUUUCACAUUAAAGUCACAACGGUAAAAGAUGAGCAUGCGUCCCAUUAGCUUGUUGGUAAGGUAACGGCUUACCAAGGCAACGAUGGGUAGGGGUCCUGAGAGGGAGAUCCCCCGACACUGGUACUGAGACACGGACCAGACUCCGUACGGGAGGCAGCAGUGAGGAAUAUUGGACAAUGGGGCGCAAGCCUGAUCCCAGCCCAGUGCCGCGUG
rnacentral:rRNA from 1 species